CCUGAACGCUGUCGGUGUGAUUAAGACAUGCAAGUCGUACGGUGUAGCAAUACACAGUGGCGCACGGGUGAGUAAUGCAUCGCUAAUGUACCCUGGGGUCUGGGAUAGCCAGUCGAAAGAUUGGGUAAUACCAGAUGAGACCACGACCUGGCAUCAGGUUGUGCUCAAAGGGCAACUGCCCUGGGAUCAGGCGAUGUGGUAUCAGCUAGUUGGUGAGGUAACGGCUCACCAAGGCUUCGACGCCUAGCCGGACUGAGAGGUCGGCCGGCCACAUCGGGACUGAGACACUGCCCGGACUCCGUACGGGGGCUGCAGUAAUGAAUCUUCCGCAAUGCACGAAAGUGUGACGGAGCGACACCGAGUGAAGGAUGAAGUC
rnacentral:rRNA from 1 species